AAAAAAAAAAAAAGGCUCCUUGCCUUGAAAUAAGAAAAGCUCUUCUUCCCAGAAUCCAAUCUAGUCAGACUUCUGAACUAGAUGACAUACUCCUCCUUAGGAAGAUAAGCAAACUACUAUAUGAAAGACAAAAGAGGGAGAUAAAUGACUUCUUUGCAACAAAACAUAUAGGUACUAUAGCAAUGAAGAUUUACAAAGUGCUAAUGUGAUGGGCAUUAUUACUGCACUGGGAAAAAAGAAAGCCUGGUGAUUUAGUGAUAGUCUUAGCUUAGUUACCCGACCAAGCUUUUGUUAUUUUGGCAUUUAAUCUCUACUGCACCAAGGUUCCCUGCAAAAACCAGAUUCGAAAUUUAAAACAAUUCACUUAAUGAAGUACAAGAGAACAAUGUUCAGAAUCCUUGUGUAUAUUUUUUUGAUGCUCUUAACAUUAAGUGGCCAGCUCUCUUAGCCCAAGAUUGAUGUGUUUCCCAAGAUAGGAAUUUCAAUGCUAAAACUGGAAAGUCCAGGCAAACUGGGACAGUUCGUUACCCAAUCUCCACAUCACCACUUGUUGAGGGUAAUCCAACCUUUGAUUACUUGUGCUUUUAAAAAGAGAUAUGAACUAAUAAUGGAAAGGCAAAUACUUUGGCUGAGAUAGCACCCUAUGAAAAUCUUUUAAUACAUCAGAGUGGCUGACAAAGAGUAAAAGUGAGACAUAGGUUUAUCAACUUCAUCUCUAUUUAACCAUCUAAAACUUAUGGAAAUAGU